GUUAUGUAUUUUUAGGAGUAUUAUCAUUAUUGGUUUUAGUAAGAGUUGUUAAAAUUUGUUAUUAUUGUGAGGGUCCAUUACGGGUAUUCAGAUA